UUUGCUUUCAUUUUCCUUUUGGCAUCCUUAUGCUUCCUUCAGCGUUGCAGUAAACAAUAAAAAUCAAACAUAUUCUUAGGAGAAGUUUCUGAAUCCUCUAUUAGUAGAAGUCUCUAAAUUCACUGUUUCUCUUAAGCGCUUUCUUUAUAUAUAGUUAAGUAGCUGCUCCUGUAACAUACAGAGAUUUUAGUGGUUUGCCUGGCUGGACAUCACACCAUGAUGUUAUACACUCCAGUAUACUAAAGAACUUUGUGCGCAAGCAAUUAGAAAAUUUCAGGCUCGUCUCGCAGACCUGAAUUCGUUCUCAUGCACAUUCAUAGUCGUGUUCCCUCCCCAUGCUCAGCUUUCAGCCACAGUUACCAGUGAAUUGACCUCACAUACUCACCUGAAGCAAUAAUCCACGUCUCUCUUCCCAACCCUCUUUUUCUUCACUGAGCUCUACUGACCUACAAAAUAACUUUGGGCCCUCUGCACAAAACACAGAACCAGUCAAUAAGGUUAAACACUUCUGAUUGUGCUGCUGCUUCCAACAAACGUGUAUGAACAAAAAAAACCAGCAAUAAAAUCAGACAUUUUCUUCACAUCCUUCCUAUUCUCUUGUCCCUCAGCACGCAUUGGCUCCCACAGCAGUGUUCUGUACUGCAGCCUGGUGUACUAAGAAAAAUGAAAGGCAGCAGCAGUUUCUCUGAACAUGCUGAAAUCUAAAUUGCAGUGAAAUAUCAGCGGUUUCACUAAAAGCUCAGCACCGGGAUCCCACAUCUUCCCCCAGAACUGAUGCAUGCUAAGGACUGAGAUCUCCAUUUUAAUUCAUUCUGGAAAUCAGAUAGGCUGGAAGAGUGUAGUAUGCUAAGAUUGUAUGUCUAGGUAACCUCUCAAGUGACUAUUUUUUUGGUAAGCUCUACAAGUCCCGAUAUCUAUUAGGCANNNNNNNNNNNNNNNNNNNNNNNNNNNNGCAGGCUAAGAGCCUCGCAGAGGUUCUCAUGCCUGCUUCUAUUGGCUCUGUCCCCUUAUUUUUUACCAUUAAAAAGAAGGUGUUUGUACCAGCUCACCAGCAGAAAACACCUAGUUUGCCCAUUACUAAAAAAUCAC
rnacentral:lncRNA from 12 species